GACGAACGCUGGCGGCGUGCCUAAUACAUGCAAGUAGGACGCAGUUGCGAACGGGUGAGUAACGCGUAGGUAACUACCUAUUAGAGGGGGCUAACUAUUGGAAACGAUAGCUAAUACCGCAUACUAGUAGAUGGACCUGCGUUGUAUUAGCUAGUAGGUAGGGUAAUGGCCUACCUAGGCAACGAUACAUAGCCGACCGGAAGGAGGAAUCGGCCACACGGGGACUGGGACGAGGCCCAGACUCCUACGGGAGGCAGCAGUAAGGAAACUUCGGCAAUGGGGGGAAACCUGAACGAGCAACGCCGCGUGGGUGAAAAAGGUGUUAGGAUCGUAAAGCUCUGUUGUAAAGGAAGCGGUACUUAACCAAAAAGGGACGGCUAACUACGUGCCAGCAGCCGCGGUAAUUC
rnacentral:rRNA from 1 species